rnacentral:rRNA from 1 species
UACUCCUACGGGAGGCAGCAGUGGGGAAUUUUGGACAAUGGGGGAAACCCUGAUCCAGCCAUGCCGCGUGAGUGAAGAAGGCCUUCGGGUUGUAAAGCUCUUUCAGCCGGAACGAAACGGUCACGGCUAAUACCUGUGAUCACUGACGGUACCGGAAGAAGAAGCACCGGCCAACUACGUGCCAGCAGCCGCGGUAAUACGUAGGGUGCGAGCGUUAAUCGGAAUUACUGGGCGUAAAGCGUGCGCAGGCGGUUUUGUAAGUCAGAUGUGAAAUCCCCGGGCUCAACCUGGGAACUGCGUUUGAAACUACAAGGCUAGAGUGUAGCAGAGGGGGUGGAAUUCCACGUGUAGCAGUGAAAUGCGUAGAGAUGUGGAGGAACACCGAUGGCGAAGGCAGCCCCCUGGGUUAACACUGACGCUCAGGCACGAAAGCGUGGGGAGCAA